AACGAACGCUGGCGGCGCGCCUAACACAUGCAAGUCGAACGAGAAGGCGUAGCAAUACGCUUGUAGAGUGGCGAACGGGUGAGUAAUACGUGGGUGACCUACCCUCGAGUGGGGAAUAACCCGCCGAAAGGCGGGCUAAUGCCGCGUACGCUUCCGUCCUCACGGGGACGGAAGGAAAGCUGUACCGUGGGUACGGCGCUCAAGGAUGGGCUCACGUCCUAUCAGCUUGUUGGUAGGUAACGGCCACCAAGGCUACGACGGGUAGCUGGUCUGAGAGGACGAUCAGCCACACUGGCACUGCGACACGGGCCAGACUCCUACGGGAGGCAGCAGUGAGGAAUAUUGCGCAAUGGGCGAAAGCCUGACGCAGCGACGCCGCGUGGGGAUGAAGGUCUUCGGAUUGUAAACCCCUUUCGGGAGGGAAGAUGGGACGGGCAACCGUUCGGACGGUACCUCCAGAAGCAGCCACGGCUAACUUCGUGCCAGCAGCAGCCGCAGUAAC
rnacentral:rRNA from 1 species